rnacentral:rRNA from 1 species
GAGUUUGAUCCUGGCUCAGAUUGAACGCUGGCGGCAGGCCUAACACAUGCAAGUCGAACGGUAACAGGAAGAAGCUUGCUUCUUUGCUGACGAGUGGCGGACGGGUGAGUAAUGUCUGGGAAACUGCCUGAUGGAGGGGGAUAACUACUGGAAACGGUAGCUAAUACCGCAUAACGUCGCAAGACCAAAGAGGGGGACCUUCGGGCCUCUUGCCAUCGGAUGUGCCCAGAUGGGAUUAGCUAGUAGGUGGGGUAACGGCUCACCUAGGCGACGAUCCCUAGCUGGUCUGAGAGGAUGACCAGCCACACUGGAACUGAGACACGGUCCAGACUCCUACGGGAGGCAGCAGUGGGGAAUAUUGCACAAUGGGCGCAAGCCUGAUGCAGCCAUGCCGCGUGUAUGAAGAAGGCCUUCGGGUUGUAAAGUACUUUCAGCGGGGAGGAAGGGAGCAAAGUUAAUACCUUUGCUCAUUGACGUUACCCGCAGAAGAAGCACCGGCUAACUCCGUGCCAGCAGCCGCGGUAAUACGGAGGGUGCAAGCGUUAAUCGGAAUUACUGGGCGUAAAGCGCACGCAGGCGGUUUGUUAAGUCAGAUGUGAAAUCCCCGGGCUCAACCUGGGAACUGCAUCUGAUACUGGCAAGCCUGAGUCUCGUAGAGGGGGGUAGAAUUCCAGGUGUAGCGGUGAAAUGCGUAGA